CAGCCAAUCAAAUCCAAAAGAGUAAGUAAAGCCCGGGAACCCCUUUCACGUCUUUCUUUCUUCAGAAUCCCACCGCUCUACUUCUUCCUUACCACUCCCGGCACUAUUUGGCCUUGUUUGAAAGAGAGAAAAGAUCAA